rnacentral:lncRNA from 10 species
AUUCUCCGGCCAAGCCCAGCUGCCUAGAGCGAGCUCCACUCCUCCAUCUGUUCGCCGGGGUCCUCGCUCCCCUGCCGGGGCCGGCGAGACGGCGUGAGGCCGGAGGGGGAUUUGCAAGGAAACCUGCCUGCUUCCCGCUCCCAUUGCUCCAUCCCCGCUGCCUCCUGCCUCCUGCUUCUCUCCUGCGUCUUUCCAACUCUCCCCUGUCGCCACUGGUGAAAGGUUAUCAGGACAGGACGCAGGGAGCCAGAAGACCAUCUGAAGGAAGCCUGCUUCCAACGGGCCCAGCCUCCAGCCACCGCUCCUGGGGCAGCGCCAUUGCUCCUGGCUCUCAGGCUGCCAGUCUCCCACACCGACGCUCUACUGCCCGCAUCUCGGCCAGCUGGGUCACCCAGCCCCUUUCGACUCUCCCCUGGCACGCAGCCUUCUCCUUCACUCGGCCUGCCUCGCUGCUGCUGUAAUUCCUCUUGUCUCCUGGGAGAAAUGAGAUUGCUUUCCCAGGACUUCCACAUCCCACUUCUAUCAGGUUUCACCAACAGGGAGGAAGCCCUGUCAAGAUCUGGUGUGUCCUGUUUUUUUUUUUUUUUUUUCCCAGAGGGCACUGGCAUGUAGGAGAAGCGGAUUUACCACUAGUAGAUGUUAAUGAAAUUUCAGCUUCUAGGCCCCUAACUUGCAGGACCUGCCCAAGGCCCUGAACUUAAUUUUGUUUUCAUCAUUUGGUAUUUUUUUGUUAAAAGAGCCACCGACCACCUCCCCGCUACCCCAGAACUGCACGUGUUUCUGGCCCUACAAACCCAGAUCGUCCCUUGGAAUAUACACAGGGCAAUUUGUGUAGGAUCACACUGCGCUAAAAGUGAGGCAUGGUGGGCUAGGCGCACUGGCUCACACCUGUAAUCCCAGCACUUUGGGAGACCAAGACAGGAGGUCUUAAGUGAUUAAGCCCAGGAGUUCGAGAUCAGCUUAGACAACAUAGCAAGAUGCUGCCUCUACAAACACACACACCCCCUAUUAUAAUAUGUCAAAAAAAAAAAAAAAAAAAGGAAAAGUGAGGCAUAGAACUGACUUUAUUGUUUUGACUAGGAAAGAGCAAAGGGUUUGGAAUCAAAAGUCCCAACUUCCCCACCUUCUUAAUAGUGUGUGAAUCUGAGUGCCUUAUUAACCUUCCCUGGUCCCAGUUUCGUAUCUGUAAAGUUAGAAUAGCAAUCCUGUUUAAUUUGCUUCUCUCACCAGGGAUCAGAAGGCCAAAUGAGAUGAUGUAUGUAAAAUUGUAAAGUCCUCCACAGAUGGCACUUGCCACAUUACAGAGAACUUGAGACCCCCCCCCACCAAUAACGUUCCAAAUCUUCCACAUGCAGAUCUGGAGUCCAGGUGUCCUGGCUCCUGGCCCUGAACUUUUUGGCUGGGCCAAGGGGCUUUUCGGUAAAGUGCUUUGGAAUAAAACAGGAUGAACAUGAAUCAUAAGAAUGAGUAUUUAUUGAUUCCUUGGGCAGCAAAAACUAUGGCUGGCACCCUUCCCACUUGGAAACGAAUUGGCUUGUUUUACAUCUAUUUCGUCUGUGGUGAGGUCAGGAGUCCAAGACUUGGGCUAACGGCCAGAGUAUGAGGAAUCUGCCCUUGGCCCUUUUUCUUUGCCCCAUUUCCCAGUUCAUCUCCCUCCUCACCCUCCAGCCUUCUGGCAUGUGCCUUGAAGCAGAGCGCUGGCAUUCAAUAACCCCAGCCCAGGCUGGUGACAAAGCGGGAUCCUAGCUACACAAUUUCCACUUGGCCUCAGUAUUUCCCCAGGUUGCCAGCAUCCAAGCACCAGCUUAUAUAAAACCCCCAGAGUGCCUGGAAUGCGUUAACCAAAGUGUGGUACUUAAAUUACCAGUCUACAGGGAGUAAUUUUAGAUGGUAUACCAAUAUUUUCAGAUUUAUGUAUUUUAAUGCAUAUUGGAAAUGUUCUGUUUUUAAAUUUUUAUUUAAGAUGGUAUAAAGACACACGUUUUUGGGCCAAGAAUGUUAUUGUCCCUUGUUACUUUUUUUUUUUUUUUCCUUGGGACGGAGUUUCACUCUUAUUGACCAGGCUGGAGUGCAAUGGCGCGAUCUUGGCUCACCGCAACCUCCACCUCCUGGGUUCAAGCGAUUCUCCUGCCUCAGCCUCCCAAGUAGCUGGGAUUACAGGCAUGCACCACCACGCCCAGCUAAUUUUGUAAUUUUAGUAGAGAUGGGGUUUCUCCACGUUGGUCAGGCUGGUCUCGAACUCCCAACCUCAGGUGAUCCGCCCACCUUGGCCUCCCAAAGUGCUGAGAUUACAGGCGUGAGCCACUGCGCCCGGCCUGUCCCUUGUUAUUUUUUUAUUGCUGUGUAAGUCAGAGAUAGUAAAGUACACAUACUUUAAGUAUACAACUUUUUUUUUUGAGACGGAGCUUUGCUCUUGUCACCCAGACUGGAGUGCAAUGGCACGAUCUUGGCUCACUGCAACCUCCACCUCCCUGGUUCAAGCAAUUCUGCCUCAGCCUCCCGAGUAGCUGGGAUU